UUCUUACUCUCUUAGUGAAUUGAGAAUGUUGCUUAUAAACCAUGUUUAGAACUGACAAGAUCAUGCUAGUUCAUUUGCUGAGCAACCAAGAUGUCAAGAGUUGGCACUUUUUUGGCUUCCAUUCACUUUGUUCCUGGGCUCACUUUAGAGGACCAUGGAGUGAUGGGGAGAGCGCAGCUUUGGAGUCAGCCAGGCCUGCUCCUCUUCUCAUCCUGCUCCCUGUCCGCAUGGCCAUGGGCCGGCUACUUCUCUGAGCCUAAGUUUCCACAUCUGCAAGAUGAGAAUGAAGAUACCUACCUCAUAGAACUACUGUAAAGCUUCAAAACAAAGUGUGUAGAGCAGCUAACACAGAGCACACAGGGCCAUCUUGGUCAAUAAAUGGUAGUAGACCUUAUCAUUAUCCAUAGUCAAAUUCAUAUCACAAUUCAAAUUGUGAUUUUGUAGGCAAGGAAGUUUUAACAUACGUUGUAAGUAGGAGCUGUGUUUUCAGAUGCACGAUGGCGUUCCUCCACAGGGGAGAUGAGACGUCAGCUUUCUCCCCCUGUGUUUCUUUAGGUGGCUCCAGGAUGUAUUUAACGUGCCCUUGGUCAUCCAGAUGACGGAUGACGAGAAGUAUCUGUGGAAGGACCUGACCCUGGACCAGGCCUAUAGCUAUGCUGUGGAGAAUGCCAAGGACAUCAUCGCCUGUGGCUUUGACAUCAACAAGACUUUCAUAUUCUCUGACCUGGACUACAUGGGGAUGAGCUCAGGUUUCUACAAAAAUGUGGUGAAGAUUCAAAAGCAUGUUACCUUCAACCAAGUGAAAGGCAUUUUCGGCUUCACUGACAGCGACUGCAUUGGGAAGAUCAGUUUUCCUGCCAUCCAGGCUGCUCCCUCCUUCAGCAACUCAUUCCCACAGAUCUUCCGAGACAGGACGGAUAUCCAGUGCCUUAUCCCAUGUGCCAUUGACCAGGAUCCUUACUUUAGAAUGACAAGGGACGUUGCCCCCAGGAUCGGCUAUCCUAAACCAGCCCUGCUGCACUCCACCUUCUUCCCCGCCCUGCAGGGCGCCCAGACCAAAAUGAGUGCCAGCGACCCCAACUCCUCCAUCUUCCUCACUGACACGGCCAAGCAGAUCAAAACCAAGGUCAAUAAGCAUGCGUUUUCUGGAGGGAGAGACACCAUCGAGGAGCACAGGCAGUUUGGGGGCAACUGUGAUGUGGACGUGUCUUUCAUGUACCUGACCUUCUUCCUCGAGGACGACGACAAGCUCGAGCAGAUCAGGAAGGAUUACACCAGCGGAGCCAUGCUCACCGGUGAGCUCAAGAAGGCACUCAUAGAGGUUCUGCAGCCCUUGAUCGCAGAGCACCAGGCCCGGCGCAAGGAGGUCACGGAUGA
rnacentral:sRNA from 1 species